rnacentral:lncRNA from 1 species
CAACCGAAGUUUGUAAAAGGCCGAUCCUUCCAGGGCUCUUCCGGCUUCUGACCCUGUGUGGCAUCUUUCUGAACUCCCCCGAUCGUCCGAGCUUCCAUAAUACCAUCCGGACUUCUCCGAUAAUGAGCUCCUCCAUUCAUCUACCGACUGCUCCAAAUACUUUCUGAGCUUCACUAUCAGUCAAUUUUUUACAGUGAUUGACUACUCUCCGAAUCUCUUCCAGACUUCUUCCGGCC